GUUCCCUAUGAUGCCUUUUAAACCAUGCUAAUGCUGAUAUCAUGAUUUUGACUUGUAGUUUAUGCUGAGGGAACU